UGAAGAUUCAAAGCCUCUGUAUAAUCCUCCUCUUCAUCUUAGCUGAGACAUCUCAGCCACCAUUCUCGUGUGAUUCGUCGAACCCAUCAACAAAAUCCUACCCCUUUUGCCAAACCUCACUCCCCAUAAGCCAAAGAGUCCAAGACCUUGUCUUUAGGCUCACAUUGGAUGAGAAAAUCUCCCAACUUGUUGACACUGCACCUGCUAUUCCCAGGCUCGGCAUCCCUGCCUAUGAGUGGUGGUCUGAAGCAUUACACGGUGUUGCCUUCCUUCCAGAAGUCAGCCAAAGGCAAGGCAUCCAUUUCAAUGGCACCAUCGCGUCCGCCACUAGCUUCCCUCAAGUCAUUCUGACUGCUGCCUCAUUUGAUGCCUAUCUUUGGUAUCGCAUUGGUCAAGUGACUGGAAAAGAAGCUAGAGCCAUAUAUAAUGCUGGACAAGCUAUUGGCAUGACGUUUUGGGCACCAAACAUCAAUAUAUUUAGGGAUCCAAGAUGGGGGAGAGGGCAAGAGACACCUGGAGAAGAUCCAUUGGUUACAGGACGGUAUGCAGUGUCAUUUGUGAGAGGCGUUCAAGGGGACUCUUUUCAAGGAGGGGCUCUUGGGGAGCAUCUUCAGGCAUCGGCUUGUUGCAAGCAUUUUACUGCU
rnacentral:misc_RNA from 1 species